UAGGUUGACGGUUAGUUUUAGGUUGACGGUUAGCUUUAAGUCAACGGUCAGCUUCAAGUCAACGGUCGGCUUUAGGUUGACGGUUAGCUUUAAGUCAACGGUUAGUUAGCUAUACGUUAGCCUAACAGGCCCCCCCUAUGAGCCGAAAGCGGCACAUUACAAGCAUCGUUGGUGGCAGAGAGAGCAGCUAGCAUUAACAUAAUCAUGUUUAGUUAUCCCAGCAGAGUAAUGAAGUGUCUGUCUACACGAUGACUCACUGGGAAGACAUUUCCCAACUGUCUACAGUUGGUUAGCUUGUUAGCUGUGUGUGUGUGUGUGUGGAUGCUAGGCAACGUUAGCUAGCUAAAACGAACGAGCUAGCUAGCUAGGCUAACUCAUGGUAGCUAACGCCAAGACCUAUAGAAGGAGGCUGGGACACGCGUCAUAUCAUCGGGGGUAUUACACAUGCGCAGUAGAAUGUCACCGAAAUUCAGCCAAUCGCAACGCACGACCGCCGCUUCAGUUACACUGCGCAUGCGUUAAACCCCAAAUUCAAAGACCCGUGUCCCAGCCUCCUUUAAUAGGCCUUGUUGCUAACGCUAACUGCUGUUAGGCCUCGCAGGUAAACAAGUGAUAGAGCAGACAGUCAGAAGAGAUUAACACCAAACCCUGUUGCUAGGAAACAAACAAGACAUUAAGGAGCUCUUACCCUCGCAGGCCAGUGCGGAUACCCCUUCAUUUUAGCAAACACAAGAUCUCCAGUGUUCCGGUUUGGUUCAACAAACACCUGCUGCUAAACAAGCCUCAAGCUGUCGGUUUAUCAUCCAGAUGAACCAGGCGCGGAAAAACUGGAGCGAAGACGAAGCGGACGACUUUUCUUUAGCUGUUGACUGUAAACCACCACGACCCCGGUGGUAUAACCACACCGCUCUGGUUUAAUGUUGAAUAACGUUUCAAAUGAUCUCAAACUAAGCGCGGUAACUGUUUGGUUUUAUCUCACAAUCACAAUCCACUGGCUCGUCCCUCUCGGACUGUUUGGGUUUGAAAUUGAAACCCGCCCGCAGACGCGCCCCCAAGCCGCUCAGCAGCGCUCCUGCUGGCCAAAACCUCCCUCACACUGAAGCUGUAUAUCUCAUGUAAAAGAAAUUACAGCUCUAAGGCAAUAAAAACGUUAUUCACUU